rnacentral:rRNA from 1 species
UACAGAGGUCCCAAGCGUUGUUCGGAUUCACUGGGCGUAAAGGGUGCGUAGGUGGCUGGGAAAGUUUGAUGUGAAAGCUCGGAGCUUAACUCCGAAAUGGCAUUGAAUACUUCCUAGCUUGAGGGUCGGAGGGGAGACUGGAAUUCUCGGUGUAGCAGUGAAGUGCGUAGAUAUCGAGAGGAACACCAGUGGCGAAGGCGAGUCUCUGGACGACUCCUGACACUGAGGCACGAAAGCUAGGGGAGCAAACAGG